AAUGAACGCUGGCGGCGUGCCUAACACAUGCAAGUCGAGCGGUAAGGCCCCUUCGGGGGUACACGAGCGGCGAACGGGUGAGUAACGCGUGGGUAAUCUACCCAGAGGUUGGGGAUAGCCCCGGGAAACCGGGGGUAAUACCGAAUACGUCACGAUCGAUGCAAAUCAUUCGUGAGAAAGGCGGGGAUCCUUCGGGACCUGUCGCGUCUGGAUGAGCCCGCGUCCGAUUAGCUUGUUGGUGGGGUAACGGCCUACCAAGGCUGCGAUCGAUAGCCGGCCUGAGAGGGUGAACGGCCACAUUGGGACUGAGACACGGCCCAGACUCCUACGGGAGGCAGCAGUGAGGAAUUUUGGGCAAUGGGCGCAAGCCUGACCCAGCGACGCCGCGUGGAGGAUGAAGGCCUUCGGGUUGUAAACUCCUGUCAGGUGGGAAGAAAUGCUUGUCGGUCAAUAGCCGACGAGAGUUGACGGUACCACCAAAGGAAGCCCCGGCUAACUCCGUG
rnacentral:rRNA from 1 species